rnacentral:rRNA from 1 species
GACGAACGCUGGCGGCGUGGAUUAGGCAUGCAAGUCGAACGGUAGGAUACCUUCGGGUAUCUGAGAGUGGCGAACGGGUGAGUAACACGUAGGUGAUCUACCCUCAAGAUUGGGACAACCCAGGGAAACUUGGGCUAAUACCGGAUGAAAGCAGCAGCGAUGUUGUUUGAAAGGUGGCGUAAGCUGCCGUUUGGGGAUGAGCCUGCGCUCUAUUAGUUAGUUGGCGGGGUAAAGGCCCACCAAGGCGAUGAUAGAUAGGCGGCCUUAACGGGUGGUCGCCCACACUGGGAUUGAGAUACGGCCCAGACUCCUACGGGAGGCAGCAGUCGAGAAUAGUCUACAAUGGCCGAAAGGCUGAUAGUGCGACGCCGCGUGAACGAAGAAGCCCUUCGGGUGUAAAGUUCUUUUAUAUGUGAGCAGUGCUUCUAUGUGAACAGCAUGGGGAGAGAGAUAUUAGCAUAUGAAUAAGCAACGGCUAACUCCGUGCCAGC